rnacentral:rRNA from 1 species
UACGUAGGGUGCGAGCGUUAAUCGGAAUUACUGGGCGUAAAGCGUGCGCAGGCGGUUUUGUAAGCCAGAUGUGAAAUCCUCGGGCUUAACCUGGGAAUGGCAUUUGGGACUGCAAGGCUUGAGUGCGGCAGAGGAGACUGGAAUUCCUGGUGUAGCAGUGAAAUGCGUAGACAUCAGGAGGAACACCGAUGGCGAAGGCAGGUCUCUGGGCUGACACUGACGCUCAUGCACGAAAGCGUGGGGAGCAAACAGG